UGAAAGUUAUUUAGUUUCUGAAUGUUUUUCUGUACCUCUUCCAAUAUUACCCUUUUACCCUCAUUACUAUUUGGUUUAUUUUUAUUUCUUUUCUUCUCCACUUAACUUCCUAAUUUCAUUUCAGUUGCAUAUGAUCAGCUAUGGGGUUGAAACCUUUACAGUGACUUCUUCAUAUCAUUACUGAGUUGCUGUAAAAAAUCUGGGUGCAUUGGAUUAAUACACAAAUCGUUACAAUUAAAUCAUUACCCUACGGUAGAC
rnacentral:lncRNA from 1 species